rnacentral:rRNA from 1 species
AAAGAGUUAAAUAAUUAUAAAAGUUAUUGUUACAAAAAUAUUUUAAAUAAUUAUUUAGUAAUGAAAUGUUAAUCGUUUUUAAAUAUAUCUAGUUUUUUUAGAAAAAAAUUUAAUUUUAAAUUAAAUAUUAAAUUUAAUUAAUUUAUAAAAAGAAUUUAUUUUUAAUUUUAUAUUUUGGGGGAUAAGCUUUAAAUUAAAUUUUUAUAUAAAUAUUAAAAUUUUGAAAGUUGUAUAAUUUAUAUUAUUAAUAAAUUUUAAUUUGUUAUAAAUAAUUUCAUUAAAAUAAAAAUUUAAUAAAAAUUAAAUUAUUUAUAAAAAAAUUAUUUUAAAUAAUAAAAAAUUAGAUUUAAUGAUAAAAUUAGUAUAUAAAUUUAUAUGUAAAAUAAAUUUAAAAUAAAUUUAUUUAAUUUAUUAAAAUUAAUUAAAAGGAAUUCGGCAAAUAUUUAUAUUCACUUGUUUAACAAAAACAUGUCUUUUUGAAAUUAAUUUAAAGUCUAAUCUGCCCACUGAUUUUUUAAAUUAAAUGGCUGCAGUAUAUUGACUGUACAAAGGUAGCAUAAUCAUUAGUCUCUUAAUUGGUGACUUGUAUGAAAGAUUGGAUGAAAUAUAAACUGUCUCUUAGUUAAUUUAUAAAAUUUAAUUUUUUAGUUAAAAAGCUAAAAUUUUUUAAAAAGACGAGAAGACCCUAUAGAGUUUAAUAAUUUUUUAAUUAUUAUUUAUUUAUAAAUUUAUUUUAUUAUAAUUAAUUAAAAAAUUAUUUUGUUGGGGUGAUAAAAAAAUUUAAUUAACUUUUUUUUAAAAAUUUACAUAAAUAAGUGAUUUUUUGAUCCAAUUUUAUUGAUUAUAAGAUUAAAUUACCUUAGGGAUAACAGCGUAAUUUUAUUUUUUAGUUCUUAUAAAAAUUAAAGUUUGCGACCUCGAUGUUGGAUUAAGAUAAAAUUUAGGCGCAAAAGUUUAAAAUUUUUG